rnacentral:tRNA from 1 species
GGUGGUGGAUCAGUGGUAGAGCACUUGCCUAGCAUGUGUGAGGCCCUGGGUUCAAUUCUCAGCACCA